AAUAGAUACCCUGGUAGUCCACGCCGUAGACGAUGAGUGCUAAGUGUUAGAGGGUUUCCGCCCUUUAGUGCUGCAGCUAACACAUUAAGCACUCCGCCUGGGGAGUACGGCCGCAAGGCUGAAACUCAAAGGAAUUGACGGGGGCCCGCACAAGCGGUGGAGCAUGUGGUUUAAUUCGAAGCAACGCGAAGAACCUUACCAGGUCUUGACAUCCUCUGCCAACCCUAGAGAUAGGGCGUUCCCCUUCGGGGGACAGAGUGACAGGUGGUGCAUGGUUGUCGUCAGCUCGUGUCGUGAGAUGUUGGGUUAAGUCCCGCAACGAGCGCAACCCUUGAUCUUAAUUGCCAGCAUUCAGUUGGGCACUCUAAGGUGACUGCCGGUGACAAACCGGAGGAAGGUGGGGAUGACGUCAAAUCAUCAUGCCCCUUAUGACCUGGGCUACACACGUGCUACAAUGGAUGGUACAAAGAGCUGCGAACCCGCGAGGGUAAGCCAAUCUCAUAAAGCCAUUCUCAGUUCGGAUUGU
rnacentral:rRNA from 1 species